rnacentral:rRNA from 2 species
CUAAGCUUGACAUCCUUUUGACCGAUGCCUAAUCGCAUCUUUCCCUUCGGGGACAGAAGUGACAGGUGGUGCAUGGUUGUCGUCAGCUCGUGUCGUGAGAUGUUGGGUUAAGUCCCGCAACGAGCGCAACCCUUGCCUUUAGUUGCCAGCAUUAAGUUGGGCACUCUAGAGGGACUGCCAGGGAUAACCUGGAGGAAGGUGGGGAUGACGUCAAAUCAUCAUGCCCCUUAUGCUUAGGGCUACACACGUGCUACAAUGGGUGGUACAGAGGGCAGCCAAGUCGUGAGGCGGAGCUAAUCCCUUAAAGCCAUUCUCAGUUCGGAUUGUAGGCUGAAACUCGCCUACAUGAAGCUGGAGUUACUAGUAAUCGCAGAUCAGAAUGCUGCGGUGAAUGCGUUCCC